AGCUUUGAGCAGUGGCAGUAUCGUAGCCAAUGAGGUUUAUCCAAGGCGCAAUUACUGCUAAUUGAAAAUAUCCCUUUGUGUAAUCAGAGCUUCAUGCUUCUAUUUCACUUGGUUCCAAGUGUGCAGUCACA
rfam:Mustela putorius furo unplaced genomic scaffold scaffold00191, whole genome shotgun sequence.